rfam:Capsicum annuum cultivar Zunla-1 chromosome 1, whole genome shotgun sequence
UGAUGGUGGUGAGGUCAAUUUCUAAGCAUACCCUUAAAUCUUUCCCGAGCUUGGUAAAGAUUUUCUCUUACUUUCUAUCUAAAACAUAGAAUCUUGCUUCUCAAGUG